rnacentral:rRNA from 1 species
GCCGUGAAGGCGUUCCAGGAAAUAGCUCCAGCGUAUAGACCGUACCCCAAACCGACACAGGUGGACAGGUAGAGUAUACCAAGGCGCUUGAGAGAACUAUGUUGAAGGAACUCGGCAAAAUACCUCCGUAAGUUCGCGAGAAGGAGGCCCAGUUUCUACGCAAGUAUUGGCUGGGGGCACAAACCAGGGGGUGGCGACUGUUUACUAAAAACACAGGGCUCUGCGAAGUCGCAAGACGACGUAUAGGGUCUGACGCCUGCCCGGUGCCUGAAGGUUAAAAGGAGGGGUGAGAGCUCCGAAUUGAAGCCCAGGUAAACGGCGGCCGUAACUAUAACGGUCCUAAGGUAGCGAAAUUCCUUGUCGGGUAAGUUCCGACCUGCACGAAUGGCGUAACGACUUCCCCGCUGUCUCCAACAUAGACUCAGCGAAAUUGAAUUGCCUGUCAAGAUGCAGGCUUCCCGCGGUUAGACGGAAAGACCCCGUGCACCUUUACUACAGCUUCGCACUGGCAUCAGGCACAACAUGUGCAGGAUAGGUGGUGGGCUUUGAAGCAGAAACGCCAGUUUCUGUGGAGCCUCCCUUGAGAUACCACCCUUGUUCUGCUUGAUGUCUAACCGCGGUCCGUUAUCCGGAUCCGGGACCCUGCGUGGCGGGUAGUUUGACUGGGGCGGUCGCCUCCUAAAGAGUAACGGAGGCGCGCGAUGGUGGGCUCAAGCCGGUCGGACAUCGGCUGUUGAGUGCAAUGGCAUAAGCCCGCCUGACUGCGAGACUGACAAGUCGAGCAGAGACGAAAGUCGGUCAUAGUGAUCCGGUGGUUCUGAGUGGAAGGGCCAUCGCUCAACGGAUAAAAGGUACGCCGGGGAUAACAGGCUGAUACUGCCCAAGAGUCCAUAUCGACGGCAGUGUUUGGCACCUCGAUGUCGGCUCAUCUCAUCCUGGGGCUGGAGCAGGUCCCAAGGGUACGGCUGUUCGCCGUUUAAAGAGGUACGUGAGCUGGGUUUAGAACGUCGUGAGACAGUUCGGUCCCUAUCUGCCGUGGGUGUAGGAUACUUGAGAGGAGUUGCCCCUAGUACGAGAGGACCGGGGUGAACGAUCCACUGGUGGACCUGUUGUUGCGCCAGCAGCAGUGCAGGGUAGCUAUGAUCGGACAGGAUAACCGCUGAAGGCAUCUAAGCGGGAAGCCCCCCUCAAAACAAGGUAUCCCUGAGGGCCGUGGAAGACCACCACGUCGAUAGGCCGGAGAUGUAAGCAUGGUAACAUGUUCAGUUGACCGGUACUAAUUGCCCGAUAGGCUUGAUUUG